ensembl:snoRNA SNORD24 Small nucleolar RNA SNORD24
UGCAGAUGAUGUCAACGAAUAUUUGCUAACUUAAUACUAAUGAUGACAAUCUUCCACCAAGAUCGCUGAUGCA